rnacentral:rRNA from 1 species
UACGUAGGGGGCAAGCGUUAUCCGGAUUUACUGGGUGUAAAGGGAGCGUAGACGGCAGAGCAAGUCUGAAGUGAAAGCCCGCGGCCCAACUGCGGGACUGCUUUGGAAACUGCCCGGCUAGAGUGCUGGAGAGGUAAGCGGAAUUCCUAGUGUAGCGGUGAAAUGCGUAGAUAUUAGGAGGAACACCAGUGGCGAAGGCGGCUUACUGGACAGUAACUGACGUUGAGGCUCGAAAGCGUGGGAGCAAACAGG